rnacentral:rRNA from 1 species
CCUACGGGCGGCAGCAGUCGAGAAUCAUUCACAAUGGGGGAAACCCUGAUGGGGCGACGCCGCGUGGGGGAAUGAAGGUCUUCGGAUUGUAAACCCCUGUCAUGUGGGAGCAAAUUAAAAAGAUAGUACCACAAGAGGAAGAGACGGCUAACUCUGUGCCAGCAGCCGCGGUAAUACAGAGGUCUCAAGCGUUGUUCGGAAUCACUGGGCGGAAAGCGUGCGGAGGCUGUUUCGUAAGUCGUGUGUGAAAGGCGCGGGCUCAACCCGCGGACGGCACAUGAUACUGCGAGACUAGAGUAAUGGAGGGGGAACCGGAAUUCUCGGUGUAGCAGUGAAAUGCGUAGAUAGCGAGAGGAACACUCGUGGCGAAGGCGGGUUCCUGGACAUUAACUGACGCUGAGGCACGAAGGCCAGGGGAGCGAAAGGGAUUAGAUACCCCAGUAGUC